rnacentral:rRNA from 1 species
GGUCUGACUUUCAUGGCUCAGAUUGAACGCUGAAGUGAUGUUUACACAUGCAAGUCGAACGGGCAGCACGGACUUCGGUCUGGUGGCGAGUGGCGAACGGGGUGAGUAAUGUAUCGGAACGUGCCUAGUAGCGGGGGAUAACUACGCGAAAGGUAGCUAAUACCGCACACGCCCUUCGGGGAAAGUGAAUUUCGGGCCCCGCACUAUUAGAGCGGCCGAUAUCGGAUUAGCUAGUUGGUGGGGUAACGGCUCACCAAGGCGACGAUCCGUAGCUGGUUUGAGAGGACGACCGCUUACACUGGGACUGGUGACAUGCCCAGACUCCUACGGGAGGCAGCAGUGGGGAAUUUUGGACAAUGGGGGAACCUCGAUCCAGCCAUCCUGCGUGUGCGAUGAAGGCCUUCGGGUUGUAAAAGCACUUUGGUAGGAUAAACGGCACGGGAUAAUACCCCGUAACCGACGGGUACCUGCAGAAUAAGACCGCCAACUACGUGCCAGCAGCCGCGGUAAUACGUAGGGUAAGCGUUAAUCGGAAUUGACGUAUGGAAGCGUGCGUGCAGGCGGUUCGGAAAGAAAGAUGUGAAAUCCCAGAGCUUAACUUUGGAACUGCAUUUUUAACUACUGAGCUAGAGUGUGUCAGAGGGAGGUGGAAUUUAUGUAGCAGUGAAAUGCGUAGAUAUGCGGAGGAACACUCCGAUGGCGAAGGCAGCCUCCUGGGAUAACAUCGACGCUCAUGCACGAGCGUGGGGAGCAACAGAUUAGAUACCCUGGUAGUUCCACGCCCAAACGAUGUCAAUCUAUUGUUGGGGGCCUUCAGGCUCGGUAGCGCAGCUAACGCGUGAAGUUGGACUCCCCGCCUGGGGAGUACGGUCGCAAGAUUAAACCUGUGCGAAUUGACGGGGACCCGCACAAGCGGUGGAUGAUGUGGACGAAUUCGAUGCAACGCGAAAACCUUACCUACCCUUGAUAUGUCUGGAAUCCUGAAGAGAUUUGGGAGGAGCCUGCAAGAGAACCGGAACACAGGUGCUGCAUGGCUGUCGUCAGCUCGUGUCGUGAGAUGUUGGGUUAAGUCCCGCAACGAGCGCAAACCUGUCAUUAGUUACAUGAAACUUCAUCGAGAUCGCUAAGGAUAAAACUUGAGGAAGGUGGGAUGACGUCAAGUCCUCAUGGCCCUUAUGGGUAGGGUUUACACGUCAUACAAUGGUCGGGACAGAGGGUCGCCAACCCGCGAGGGGGAGUCAAUCCCAGAAACCCGAUCGUAGUCCGGAUCGCAGCUCGCAACUCGACUGCGUGAAGUCGGAAUCGCUAGUAAUCGCGGAUCGUGCUAUUGUCAUGCGAAUAUCUUCGGGUCUUGUACACACCGCCCGCUGCUAGCUCCAUGGGAGUGGGUUUUACCAGAAGUAGUUAGCCUAACCGUAAGGAGGGUUACUACUACGGUAGGAUUCAUGACUGGGGUGAAGUCGUAACAAGGUAG